UCCUACGGGAGGCAGCAGUGCGGAAUAUUGGACAAUGGGCGAAAGCCUGAUCCAGCAAUGCCGCGUGAGUGAUGAAGGCCCUAGGGUUGUAAAGCUCUUUUACCCGGGAUGAUAAUGACAGUACCGGGAGAAUAAGCCCCGGCUAACUCCGUGCCAGCAGCCGCGGUAAUACGGAGGGGGCUAGCGUUGUUCGGAAUUACUGGGCGUAAAGCGCACGUAGGCGGCUUUGCAAGUCAGAGGUGAAAGCCCGGGGCUCAACCCCGGAAUAGCCUUUGAGACUGCAUCGCUUGAACAUCGGAGAGGUAAGUGGAAUUCCGAGUGUAGAGGUGUAAUUUCCAGGUAUUCGGAAGAACACCAUUGGCGAAGGCGACUUACUGGACGAUUGUUGACGCUGAGGUGCUAAAGCGUGGGGAGCAAACAGGAUUAGAUACCCUGGUAGA
rnacentral:rRNA from 1 species